rnacentral:rRNA from 1 species
GAUGAACGCUGGCGGCGUGCCUAAUACAUGCAAGUCGAACGCUGGAAAUCUAGCUUGCUCGAUUGAAGGAGUGGCGAACGGGUGAGUAAUACAUAAGCAACCUACCCACGAAGACUGGGAUAAUCUCUGGAAACGGGGACUAAUACCGGAUAGGUAAUCGGAAGGCAUCUUCUGAUUAUUAAAGGUUAAAAACACUGGUGGAUGGGCUUAUGGCGCAUUAGUUAGUUGGUGAGGUAACGGCCCACCAAGGCGAUGAUGCGUAGCCGGCCUGAGAGGGUGAACGGCCACAUUGGGACUGAGACACGGCCCAGACUCCUACGGGAGGCAGCAGUAGGGAAUUUUCGGCAAUGGGGGAAACCCUGACCGAGCAACGCCGCGUGAGUGAUGACGGCCUUCGGGUUGUAAAGCUCUGUUGUAAGGGAAGAACGGUAGAUAGAGAAUAUCUAAAUGACGGUACCUUACCAGAAAGCCACGGCUAACUACGUG